rnacentral:other from 1 species
AUGAUGCUGCAGAGUGCGAUGAAUUUUUUUCCCCGGGCCACUCUUAUUACUCUUGGGAGCUGUCACUUGCAUGGUCGUGGCCUUGUAACAUGGCACCCACCUGAUCAACAGGCUUCGAGAGGACGUAAAAUAAAACGGCUCGUGCGGCAUCACU